GCAGCAACGCCGCGUGAGUGAUGAAGGCCUUCGGGUCGUAAAGCUCUGUCAGAAGGGAAGAAAUGGAAGGGUGUUAAUACCAUCUUUUCUUGACGGUACCUUCAAAGGAAGCACCGGCUAACUCCGUGCCAGCAGCCGCGGUAAUACGGAGGGUGCAAGCGUUGUUCGGAAUUAUUGGGCGUAAAGCGCGUGUAGGCGGUCUUUUAAGUCUGAUGUGAAAGCCCCGGGCUCAACCUGGGAAGUGCAUUGGAAACUGGGAGACUUGAAUACGGGAGAGGGCAGUGGAAUUCCUAGUGUAGGAGUGAAAUCCGUAGAUAUUAGGAGGAAC
rnacentral:rRNA from 1 species